GUGGGGAAUCUUCCGCAAUGGACGAAAGUCUGACGGAGCAACGCCGCGUGAGUGAUGAAGGUCUUCGGAUUGUAAAACUCUGUUGUCAGGGACGAAUGUGCGAACGUUGAAUAAGCGUUUGUAUUGACGGUACCUGACGAGGAAGCCACGGCUAACUACGUGCCAGCAGCCGCGGUAAUACGUAGGUGGCAAGCGUUGUCCGGAAUUAUUGGGCGUAAAGAGCAUGUAGGCGGGCUUUUAAGUCCGACGUGAAAAUGCGGGGCUUAACCCCGUAUGGCGUUGGAUACUGGAAGUCUUGAGUGCAGGAGAGGAAAGGGGAAUUCCUAGUGUAGCGGUGAAAUGCGUAGAUAUUAGGAGGAACACCAGUGGCGAAGGCGACUUUCUGGACUGUAACUGACGCUGAGGCUCGAAAGCCAGGGGAGCGAACGGGAUUAGAUACCCUGGUAGUCC
rnacentral:rRNA from 1 species